rnacentral:rRNA from 1 species
GAGUUUGAUCCUGGCUCAGAUUGAACGCUGGCGGCAUGCCUUACACAUGCAAGUCGAACGGCAGCAUGAUCUAGCUUGCUAGAUUGAUGGCGAGUGGCGAACGGGUGAGUAAUACAUCGGAACGUGCCCUGUAGUGGGGGAUAACUAGUCGAAAGAUUAGCUAAUACCGCAUACGACCUGAGGGUGAAAGUGGGGGACCGCAAGGCCUCAUGCUAUAGGAGCGGCCGAUGUCUGAUUAGCUAGUUGGUGGGGUAAAGGCCCACCAAGGCGACGAUCAGUAGCUGGUCUGAGAGGACGAUCAGCCACACUGGGACUGAGACACGGCCCAGACUCCUACGGGAGGCAGCAGUGGGAAUUUGGACAAUGGGCGAAAGCCUGAUCCAGCAAUGCCGCGUGUGUGAAGAAGGCUCGGUGUAG